UGCCUACGGGGGGCAGCAGUGAGGAAUAUUGGUCAAUGGGCGGGAGCCUGAACCAGCCAUGCCGCGUGAAGGCGAGUGCCCUACGGGCGUUAAACUUCUUUUGUGCGGGAGCAAUAAGGGCCACGUGUGGCCCGAUGAGAGUACCGCACGAAUAAGCAUCGGCUAACUCCGUGCCAGCAGCCGCGGUAAUACGGAGGAUGCGAGCGUUAUCCGGCUUUAUUGGGUUUAAAGGGUGCGCAGGCGGAGGUGCAAGUCAGCGGUCAAAUUGCGGGGCUCAACCCCGUACUGCCGUUGAAACUGCAUCC
rnacentral:rRNA from 1 species